AGAGUUUGAUCCUGGCUCAGGAUGAACGCUGGCGGCGUGCUUAACACAUGCAAGUCGAACGAACCUUCGGGUUAGUGGCGGACGGGUGGGUAACGCGUGAGAAUCUGCCCUCAGGAGGGGGACAACAGCUGGAAACGGCUGCUAAUACCCCAUAUGCCGCGAGGUGAAAUGAAUUUCGCCUGAGGAUGAGCUCGCGUCUGAUUAGCUAGUUGGUGUAGGUAAUGGCUCACCAAGGCAUCGAUCAGUAGCUGGUCUGAGAGGAUGAUCAGCCACACUGGGACUGAGACACGGCCCAGACUCCUACGGGAGGCAGCAGUGGGGAAUUUUCCGCAAUGGGCGAAAGCCUGACGGAGCAACGCCGCGUGAGGGAUGAAGGCCUCUGGGCUGUAAACCUCUUUUAUCAAGGAUGAAGAUCUGACGUUACUGAUGAUAGCACGCUAUCGUGCAGCAGCGCGUAUACGGGAGUGGCAAGCGUAUCCGGACUUAUUGGGCGUAAAGCGUUCGCAGGCGGCCCUUCAAGUCUGCUGUUAAAAAGUGGAGCUUAACUCCAUCAUGGCAGUGGAACUGUUGGGCUUGAGUGUGGUAGGGGCAGAGGGAAUUCCCGGUGUAGCGGUGAAAUGCGUAGAUAUCGGGAAGAACACCAGUGGCGAAGGCGCUCUGCUGGGCCAUCACUGACGCUCAUGGACGAAAGCCAGGGGAGCGAAAGGGAUUAGAUACCCCUGUAGUCCUGGCCGUAAACGAUGAACACUAGGUGUCGGGGGAAUUGACCCCCUCGGUGUCGUAGCCAACGCGUUAAGUGUUCCGCCUGGGGAGUACGCACGCAAGUGUGAAACUCAAAGGAAUUGACGGGGGCCCGCACAAGCGGUGGAGUUUGUGGUUUAAUUCGAUGCAACGCGAAGAACCUUACCAGGUUUUGACAUCCUGCGAAUCUCUGGAAACAGGAGAGUGCCUUCGGGAACGCAGUGACAGUUGGUGCAUGGCUGUCGUCAGCUCGUGUCUGAGAUGUUGGGUUAUGUGUUGCCCGGGGCGCAACCCACGUCUUUAGUUGCCAGCAUUUAGUUGGGCACUCUAGAGAGACUGCCGGUGAUAAACCGGAGGAAGGUGUGGAUGACGUCAAGUCAUCAUGCCCCUUACAUCCUGGGCUACACACGUACUACAAUGCUACGGACAAAGGGCAGCAAGUUCGCGAGGACAAGCAAAUCCCAUAAACCGUGGCUCAGUUCAGAUCGUAGGCUGCAACUCGCCUACGUGAAGGCGGAAUCGCUAGUAAUCGCAGGUCAGCAUACUGCGGUGAAUACGUUCCCGGGCCUUGUACACACCGCCCGUCACACCAUGGAAGUUGGCCACGCCCGAAGCCGUUACUCCAACCCUUGUGGAGGAGGACGUCGAAGGUGGGGCUGAUGACUGGGGUGAAGUCGUAACAAGGUAACC
rnacentral:rRNA from 1 species